AGAUUGAACGCUGGCGGCAUGCUUUACACAUGCAAGUCGAACGGUAACAGGCCGCAAGGUGCUGACGAGUGGCGAACGGGUGAGUAAUGCAUCGGAACGUGCCCAGUCGUGGGGGGAUAACGCAGCGAAAGCUGUGCUAAUACCGCAUACGAUCUAUGGAUGAAAGCGGGGGACCGAAAGGCCUCGCGCGAUUGGAGCGGCCGAUGUCAGAUUAGCUAGUUGGUGGGGUAAAGGCCCACAAGGCGACGAUCUGUAGCUGGUCUGAGAGGACGACCAGCCACACUGGAACUGAGACACGGUCCAGACUCCUACGGGAGGCAGCAGUGGGAAUUUUGGACAAUGGGCGCAAGCCUGAUCCAGCAAUCGCCGCGUGCAGGAAGAAGGCCUUGGGUUGUAAACUGUCUUUGUACGGAACGUAAACGGUCGUUAGGUUAACUACCGUACGGGUACUAAGUAGAACGGUACGUAAAGAAUAACGACACGGUACUAACUACGUCG
rnacentral:rRNA from 1 species